rnacentral:rRNA from 1 species
AUGGGUACAAGUUUUGUUUGAAGUCAUGCGGUUUGUAUAAUGAAGGCUUAGGAGUAAAAAAUAUUUUUAGCAGGGAGGAAGGGAGUUAAGUAAAUACUUUUUUUCAUUGAAAGUUACACGCAGAAGAAGCACCGAAUAACUCCGUACCAACAGCCGCGGUAAUACUGAGGGUGCAAGCGUUAAUCGAAUUUUCUGGGUGUAAAGCGCACGCAGGCGGUUUGUUAAGUCAUAUGUGAAAUCCCCGGGCUCAACCUGGGAACUGCAUAUGAUACUGGCAAGCUUGAGUCUGGUAGAGGGGGGUAGAAUUCCAGGUGUAGCGGUGAAAUGCGUAGAGAUUUGGAGGAAUACCGGUGGCGAAGGCGGCCCCCUGGACGUUGACUGUCGUUCAGGUGCGAAAGCGUGGGGUGCAGGCAGGAUUAGAUACCCUGGUAGUCCAC